CUUGAGCUAAUACCGGAUACGCCCUUUGGGGGAAAGAUUUAUUGCCGAAAGAUCGGCCCGCGUCCGAUUAGCUAGUUGGUGAGGUAAAGGCUCACCAAGGCGACGWUCGGUAGCUGGUCUGAGAGGAUGACCAGCCACACUGGGACUGAGACACGGCCCAGACUCCUACGGGAGGCAGCAGUGGGGAAUAUUGGACAAUGGGCGCAAGCCUGAUCCAGCCAUGCCGCGUGAGUGAUGAAGGCCCUAGGGUUGUAAAGCUCUUUCGCCAGGGACGAUAAUGACGGUACCUGGAUAAGAAGCCCCGGCUAACUUC
rnacentral:rRNA from 1 species